rnacentral:piRNA from 1 species
UCUGACGCUUACUGCUUCGAGCUGCUCU